CCGCACUUUCGCUUCAAAACAACCCUCGACGGAACCUUAGAUAAUAUUGAUGUAAUUGGUUAGUAUUGCAGCGACAAACUUUGUUAUCAAGUUUAAAAUAGCUACUUAAAACGAAACAUGAACGUGAGGAUACCGCCGCUAGCUAAACAGUGUAUUCAUGUUCCCGGGGUUGGCGCGCCCCUUUUAAAAGAGUAAGGUAAAUCGUGACGUCACACGCCAGUUUUGACUCGGCAGUUUCGCCACGGUCGCCAACACGCACUCAACAAGCAUCUUGUCAGCACAUUAGUUAUCUCAAUGUAGGUGGUCGAUGUCCGGCACAUGUGGUCAUUCAAUGAGGAUAUCACACUUCCUGUUAGCGGCCUUGUCAGGAGAAGAGAGAAAUAGCACAUUCGGAAUAUUUGGGGAGGAGCACAAAAGAGAGAAGUGAUGAGCUCUCGGCGACGGCGGUAAGGAUUGAGCCAAUAUAUCUGGAGGAAAACAGCAACAGUGUGUGGCAAUAUUGGAUCUGUCAGACUGGGGCCAUUUAAAUUUCAA